rnacentral:sRNA from 1 species
AAAGGCACGCGGGUCCUCGGGCCUGUCGCCGUCGAGGACGCGUGCCUGGUCGAGAAGAAGCUUGACCGCGUCCUCGCGGAAGGC